rnacentral:rRNA from 1 species
GCACAAGCAGUGGAGUAUGUGGUUUAAUUCGAAGCAACGCGAAGAACCUUACCAGGUCUUGACAUCCAACUAACGAAGUAGAGAUACAUUAGGUGCCCUCCGGGGAAAGUUGAGACAGGUGGUGCAUGGUUGUCGUCAGCUCGUGUCGUGAGAUGUUGGGUUAAGUCCCGCAACGAGCGCAACCCUUGCUAUUAGUUGCUACGCAAGAGCACUCUAAUAGGACUGCCGUUGACAAAA